CAGCAGCCGCGGUAAUACGGAGGGUGCAAGCGUUAAUCGGAAUUACUGGGCGUAAAGCGCACGCAGGCGGUCUGACAAGUCAGAUGUGAAAUCCCCGGGCUUAACCUGGGAACUGCAUUUGAAACUGUCAGGCUGGAGUCUUGUAGAGGGGGGUGGAAUUCCAGGUGUAGCGGUGAAAUGCGUAGAGAUCUGGAGGAAUACCGGUGGCGAAGGCGGCCCCCUGGACAAAGACUGACGCUCAGGUGCGAAAGCGUGGGGAGCAAACAGGAUUAGAUACCCCGAGUAGUCCCUGUCUCUUAUA
rnacentral:rRNA from 1 species